rnacentral:tRNA from 1 species
UCCUUGGUGGCUCAGACAGUAAAGAAUCUGCCUGCAAUGCAGGAGACCUAGGUUUGAUUCCUGGGUCAGGAA